GAUGAACGCUGGCGGCGUGCCUAAUACAUGCAAGUCGAGCGGACGGACGAGAAGCUUGCUUCUCUGAUGUUAGCGGCGCACGGGUGAGUAACACGUGGAUAACCUACCUAUAAGACUGGUAUAACUUCGGGAAACCGGAGCUAAUACCGGAUAAUAUUUUUAACCGCAUGGUUCAAAAGUGAAAGACGGUCUUGCUGUCACUUAUAGAUGUAUCCGCGUUGCAUUAGCUAGUUGGUAAGGUAACGGCUUACCAAGGCAACGAUGCAUAGCCGACCUGAGAGGGUGAUCGGCCACACUGGGACUGAGACACGGUCCAGACUCCUACGGGAGGCAGCAGUAGGGAAUCUUCCGCAAUGGGCGAAAGCCUGACGGAGCAACGCCGCGUGAGUGAUGAAGGUCUUCGGAUCGUAAAACUCUGUUAUUAGGGAAGAACAUAUGUGUAAGUAACUGUGCACAUCUUGACGGUACCUAAUCAGAAAGCCACGGCUAACUACGUG
rnacentral:rRNA from 1 species